GUGGGGAAUCUUCCGCAAUGGACGAAAGUCUGACGGAGCAACGCCGCGUGAGUGAUGAAGGCCUUCGGGUUGUAAAGCUCUGUUAAUCGGGACGAAAGAGCGCUGUGCGAAUAGUGCAGCGAAGUGACGGUACCGGAAUAGAAAGCCACGGCUAACUACGUGCCAGCAGCCGCGGUAAUACGUAGGUGGCAAGCGUUGUCCGGAAUUAUUGGGCGUAAAGCGCGCGCAGGCGGAUCUGUAAGUCUGUCUUAAAAGUUCGGGGCUCAACCCCGUGAGGGGAUAGAAACUGCAGAUCUUGAGUAUCGGAGAGGAAAGUGGAAUUCCUAGUGUAGCGGUGAAAUGCGUAGAGAUUAGGAAGAACACCAGUGGCGAAGGCGACUUUCUGGACGAAAACUGACGCUGAGGCGCGAAAGCCAGGGGAGCGAACGGGAUUAGAAACCCGUGUAGUCC
rnacentral:rRNA from 1 species